rnacentral:rRNA from 1 species
GACGAACGCUGGCGGCGUGCUUAACACAUGCAAGUCGAACGGAGUUGCAGGAGAGCUUGCUUGAAUGCAACUUAGUGGCGAACGGGUGAGUAACGCGUGAGUAACCUGUCUCAUACAGGGGGAUAACGCAUCGAAAGGUGUGCUAAUACCGCAUAAGACCACAGAGCCGCAUGGUUCAGGGGUCAAAGGAGCAAUCCGGUAUGAGGUGGACUCGCGUCUGAUUAGAUAGUUGGUGAGGUAACGGCUCACCAAGUCGACGAUCGGUAGCCGACCUGAGAGGGUGAUCGGCCACAUUGGGACUGAGACACGGCCCAGACUCCUACGGGAGGCAGCAGUGGGGAAUAUUGGGCAAUGGGCGCAAGCCUGACCCAGCAACGCCGCGUGAGGGAAGAAGGUUUUCGGAUUGUAAGCCUCUGUCCUAGGUGAAGAGCAGAAGACGGUAGCCUAGGAGGAAGCUCCGGCUAACUACGUGCCAGCAGCC